rnacentral:rRNA from 1 species
AUUGAACGCUGGCGGCAGGCCUAACACAUGCAAGUCGAACGGUAACAGGAAACAGCUUGCUGUUUCGCUGACGAGUGGCGGACGGGUGAGUAAUGCCUGGGAAACUGCCUGAUGGAGGGGGAUAACUACUGGAAACGGUAGCUAAUACCGCAUAACGUCGCAAGACCAAAGAGGGGGACCUUCGGGCCUCUUGCCAUCGGAUGUGCCCAGAUGGGAUUAGCUAGUAGGUGGGGUAACGGCUCACCUAGGCGACGAUCCCUAGCUGGUCUGAGAGGAUGACCAGCCACACUGGAACUGAGACACGGUCCAGACUCCUACGGGAGGCAGCAGUGGGGAAUAUUGCACAAUGGGCGCAAGCCUGAUGCAGCCAUGCCGCGUGUAUGAAGAAGGCCUUCGGGUUGUAAAGUACUUUCAGCGGGGGGGAAGGGAGUAAAGUUAAUACCUUUACUCAUUGACGUUACCCGCAGAAGAAGCACCGGCUAACUCCGUG